UUAAUUGAAGCCAAAUUAGAGGCAAAUCACUGUUAAUGAUUCUAUUGAGAAUUUAAUCUCCAAUUAAA
rnacentral:tRNA from 1 species